rnacentral:rRNA from 1 species
AGUGAACGCUGGCGGUAGGCCUAACACAUGCAAGUCGAACGGCAGCACAGUAAGAGCUUGCUCUUACGGGUGGCGAGUGGCGGACGGGUGAGGAAUACAUCGGAAUCUACUUUUUCGUGGGGGAUAACGUAGGGAAACUUACGCUAAUACCGCAUACGACCUACGGGUGAAAGCAGGGGAUCUUCGGACCUUACGCGAUUGAAUGAGCCGAUGUCGGAUUAGCUAGUUGGCGGGGUAAAGGCCCACCAAGGCGACGAUCCGUAGCUGGUCUGAGAGGAUGAUCAGCCACACUGGAACUGAGACACGGUCCAGACUCCUACGGGAGGCAGCAGUGGGGAAUAUUGGACAAUGGGCGCAAGCCUGAUCCAGCUAUACCGCGUGGGUGAAGAAGGCCUUCGGGUUGUAAAGCCCUUUUGUUGGGAAAGAAAAGCAGCAGGUUAAUACCCCGCUGUUCUGACGGUACCCAAAGAAUAAGCACCGGCUAACUUCGUG